rnacentral:rRNA from 1 species
GAUGAACGCUGGCGGCGUGGAUAAGGCAUGCAAGUCGAGCGGCCCGCAAGGGCAGCGGCCGACGAGGUAGUAAUAAUCAAGUACGUACCCUGGAGUCGGGCAUAGCCCGUCGAAAGGCUGGGUAAUUCCCGAUAGUCUCGCAAGAGUAAAGUUUUUCGCUCUGGGAACGGCUUGAUCGGUAUCAGCUAGUUGGUAAGGUAACGGCUUACCAAGGCAAUGACGCCUAGGGGACCUGAGAGGGUGACCCCCCCCGAUGGGACUGAGACCCGGCCCCUACACCUACGGGUGGCUGCCGUCGAGAAUUUUUCGCAAUGGACGAAAGUUUGACGGAGCGACGCCGCGUGGAGGAUGAAGUGCUUCGGUAUGUAAACUCCUUUUGCCGGGGACGAAGUUAUUGACGGUACCCGGAGAAUAAGAAGUUGCUAAACUCGUG